GAUGAACGCUGGCGGCGUGCCUAACACAUGCAAGUCGAGCGAUCUUCUUCGGAAGAGAGCGGCGGACGGGGUGAGUAACGCGUGGGUAACCUGCCCUGUACACACGGAUAACAUACCGAAAGGUAUGCUAAUACGAGAUAAUAUGCUUUUGUCGCAUGGUAGAAGUAUCAAAGCUCCGGCGGUACAGGAUGGACCCGCGUCUGAUUAGCUAGUUGGUAAGGUAACGGCUUACCAAGGCGACGAUCAGUAGCCGACCUGAGAGGGUGAUCGGCCACAUUGGAACUGAGACACGGUCCAAACUCCUACGGGAGGCAGCAGUGGGGAAUAUUGCACAAUGGGCGAAAGCCUGAUGCAGCAACGCCGCGUGAGCGAUGAAGGCCUUCGGUCGUAAAGACUCUGUCCUCAAGGAAGAUAAAUGACGGUAACUUGAGGAGGGAGCCCCGGGCUAACUACGUAGCCAGCAGCCGCGGUAAU
rnacentral:rRNA from 1 species